AUCCAUCAUCCGCACCCCCCCGCCUCCCUGCGCGCGCCCUGCGCCACCGCCAAUCGGGCGGCAGGUGGGGCCGCACCUGCGGGACAGUCCUCCGCUUUCCUCGGCUCUCCCCCGCGCCGCCUGGGCUGGCGGUGCCCUUGCCAGCCCCUGCGCUCUCCGACGCCGGAACCGGACAGGUUAGGAUGGUCUUCCUUCUCCCUGUUCUGAAACCAGUGGAAACAAAAACAAAAACCAGAUAACAACCUUGCAAGGCAAGCAGAAUAAAUAAACAGUCGUUUUCUGUUAAGUAAAGUAUUUCCCCAAGAUGGGGAACCAAAAUGAGAGCCUGUCCGGAAGACGUGCACCCAUGUGCAUGGACAGCAGAACCAGCUGAAGACUGGGAGCUUCCACACACCCCAUAAUUCCCAGGGAACCUGCAGGCAAGCUGUUUUGGCAGAGAGCCCUUUCUGAAGCACAGAACAUGCAGGCCGCUCAGGAGACACCCGACGGAUCAUUGCAGCUCUCUCUCCGGCCUGGAAAGUAUUUGCAACAGCAUCCUCCUCGCUGCAAUAAUAAACAUCUCCAGCUGCAAGAGCUCUGCAGAGCAAGCCCGGGCAAAACAGUUCAACUCCUUCCCUUUGACCAGCUUAGAUCUCCCCUGUAG